rnacentral:rRNA from 1 species
CGGAUCCUACGGGACGCAGCAGUAGGGAAUUUUCGUCAAUGGGCGCAAGCCUGAACGAGCGAUGCCGCGUGAGUGAAGAAGGCCUUCGGGUCGUAAAGCUCUGUUGCGGGGGAAAAAAGGCAGCAUCAGGAAAUGGGUGCUGACUGAUGGUGCCCCGCCAGAAAGUCACGGCUAACUACGUGCCAGUAGCCGCGGUAAUACGUAGGUGGCGAGCGUUAUCCGGAAUGAUUGGGCGUAAAGGGUACGCAGGCGGUCCUGCAAGUCUGGAGUGAAACGCAUGAGCUCAACUCAUGCAUGGCUUUGGG